AGCAGGGUGCACGGUGUAGCCACGGCGCAGGGAGAGAGAGUGACACGGAGGAGCUAACACUAGCAGCACAGGGACACUGGUGUUAAUGAUGGUUGUCUAAGCUACUGGAGGGAAGGGCACAAACAGCCAGCUGUGGGUGUCGAGGCAUGUGAGGAAGUGGAGCCGACUCCUGAGAGACAGAGGUGUGUGUCCCCUUUGUGUGUCUGAGAGAAGGAGAGAGAGACAGAGAGUGUGUUUGUGUGAAUGUGACUGAUGCACCUGGGAGAGGAUAUCACCACGGCAACUGGAUUGAGGCUGUCAGCGCACACAGGAGGAGAAGCUGCAGCUUCACUUUUUCACGCACGCGUGGACGCACUUUGAACACACACACUCCAAGAUAAGUCAGCCUCAUCUGGUCCAUGAACGUCUCUGGUGACACCUAGAGGACACCAGGCGGAAAAAGACAGACAGACAGACAGAUGGAGAGACACCUCUGGAUACUGUUGUCCAACACUAAUGUCAUUUCUGAACCGAAACCAUCUCACCCUGCCCAGACCGCACGCGUCCCGUGCCAAAACCACAAGAGGACGAAGAGGGUGGGGGAACAACAGGGACCAUCGGCCUGCUGCAAUAACACCAGCUUUCAGAAGACUUUACACCAAAAAAAAAGGCUGGUUUUCUUGUACAUGCUAUUGUUAUUGUCAUUUGGCUUUUAUAAGCUGGAGUGAAAAAUUGCUUGUGUGAAAACAAGGUAUUAAAACUGUUGGAUGUG